CAGAGGUGGCAAGCGUUGUUCGGAAUUACUGGGCGUAAAGGGCGCGUAGGCGGCCUUCUAAGUCAGACGGGAAAUCCCCAGGCUUAACUUGGGAACUGCGUCUGAUACUGGAGGGCUCGAGUGCGGGAGAGGGAUGUGGAAUUCCAGGUGUAGCGGUGUAAUGCGUAGAUAUCUGGAGGAACACCGGUGGCGAAGGCGGCAUCCUGGACCGACACUGACGCUGAGGCGCGAAAGCUAGGGGAGCAAACGGGAUUAGAUACCCCGGUAGUCCUAGCCCUAAACGAUGAGUGCUUGGUGUGGCGGGUAUCGAUCCCUGCCGUGCCGAAGCUAACGCAUUAAGCACUCCGCCUGGGGAGUACGGUCGCAAGGCUG
rnacentral:rRNA from 1 species